UUGUCAUCCUCGCUUCAUUAAACUUGUCACAAAUUACCGUUCGUAGUUGCCAUAUGUUCAUGCUACACGUAUGACACCUAUCAGUUAUCAGGAUCCAAAUAUAAGCACGCGGAUCGCGCUCCCCCUGUACCUCGUCUUCUUGUAUAUAGGUCACGCUCUUUGCUCCUGAAAGAACACCGUAUACUAUACGUGACAGCGCAGCACACAUUUCCCUCUUGCUUCCUGCACUACCACUUGGUUUGCAUAACCUCGUCCUCUUAUCAUCACUCGCUGGCUCGAUAUGUGAGUAUGUGUGUGUGUGUGUGAGACAGUUUAUCGUCUUGUUUCAGGGCAGUGGUGGAGCGCCGCAGAGCUCGUAUCAAGCAGCCGAGGUGGUGGUGAUCAGUCGCUCUGCUGCAGGCUUGGCGGGCAUGGCGACGGCCGCUGCGAGCGUGAUCGCGCCGAUGAUGCUGCAGGGGCGGGUGGCGAUCGUGACGGGCGGCGCCGGCGGCAUCGGCUCGGCCGUGUCGAGGCACCUGGCGUCCCUCGGCGCGCGCGUGGCCGUCGCCUACGUCGGGGACCCGGCGCCCGCGCGGNNNNN
rnacentral:lncRNA from 1 species